UACGGAGGAUCCAAGCGUUAUCCGGAUUCAUUGGGUUUAAAGGGUGCGUAGGCGGAAUGAUAAGUCAGUGGUGAAAUCCUGCAGCUUAACUGCAGAACUGCCAUUGAUACUGUCAAUCUUGAGUACAUUUGAUGUGGCGGAAUGUGUCAUGUAGCGGUGAAAUGCUUAGAUAUGACACAGAACACCGAUUGCGAAGGCAGCUCACAAAACUGUAACUGACGCUGAGGCACGAAGCGUGGGUAUCAAACAGGA
rnacentral:rRNA from 1 species